rnacentral:rRNA from 1 species
GACGUAGGGCGCGAGCGUUGUCCGGAUUUAUUGGGCGUAAAGAGCUCGUAGGCGGCUUGUCGCGUCGAUCGUGAAAACUCACAGCUCAACUGUGAGCUUGCGGUCGAUACGGGCAGGCUCGAGUUCGGUAGGGGAGACUGGAAUUCCUGGUGUAGCGGUGAAAUGCGUAGAGAUCAGGAAGAACAUCGGUGGCGAAGGCGCUCUGCUGGACCAUAACUGACACUCAGGGACGAAAGCUAGGGGAGCGAAUGGG